rnacentral:rRNA from 1 species
CAAACGGAUUAGAUACCCCGGUAGUCCACGCCGUAAACGAUGUCUACUAGCCGUUGGAGGACUUGAUCCUUUAGUGGCGCAGCUAACGCGAUAAGUAGACCGCCUGGGGAGUACGGUCGCAAGAUUAAAACUCAAAUGAAUUGACGGGGGCCCGCACAAGCGGUGGAGCAUGUGGUUUAAUUCGAAGCAACGCGAAGAACCUUACCUACUCUUGACAUCCAGUGAACUUUUGAGAGAUCAAUUGGUGCCUUCGGGAACACUGAGACAGGUGCUGCAUGGCUGUCGUCAGCUCGUGUUGUGAAAUGUUGGGUUAAGUCCCGUAACGAGCGCAACCCUUGUCCUUAGUUACCAUCAUUAAGUUGGGGACUCUAAGGAGACUGCCGGUGACAAACCGGAGGAAGGCGGGGACGACGUCAAGUCAUCAUGGCCCUUACGAGUAGGGCUACACACGUGCUACAAUGGCAUGUACAAAGGGUUGCCAAGCCGCGAGGUGGAGCUAAUCCCAUAAAGCAUGUCGUAGUCCGGAUUGGAGUCUGCAACUCGACUCCAUGAAGUCGGAAUCGCUAGUAAUCGUGAAUCAGAAUGUCACGGUGAAUACGUUCCCGGGCCUUGUACACACCGCCCGUCACACCAUGGGAGUGGGUUGCUCCAGAAGUAGAUAGCUUAACCUUCGGGAGGGCGUUUACCACGGAGUGAUUCAUGACUGGGGUGAAGUCGUAACAAGGUAACCGUA